rnacentral:tRNA from 1 species
CGGAGAGUAGCGCAGGGGUAGCGCACCUCGUUCGGGACGAGGGGGUCGUGAGUUCAAUUCCCACCUCUCCGA